CACGUAGGGGGCAAGCGUUGUCCGGAAUUAUUGGGCGUAAAGAGCUCGUAGGCGGUUUGUCGCGUCUGCCGUGAAAGUCCGGGGCUCAACUCCGGAUCUGCGGUGGGUACGGGCAGACUAGAGUGAUGUAGGGGAGACUGGAAUUCCUGGUGUAGCGGUGAAAUGCGCAGAUAUCAGGAGGAACACCGAUGGCGAAGGCAGGUCUCUGGGCAUUAACUGACGCUGAGGAGCGAAAGCAUGGGGAGCGAACAGG
rnacentral:rRNA from 1 species